UAAAAAUAAAUAAUAUUACACUUAAAAAAUAAAAUGAAAAAUUAGUUUAGUGGUACCUAAAGUAAAUAGCAAAAAUGAAGGGUUUAAUGUGGAAUAAGUGGAAAUUCAACAUAUUAUAUGAUUUAAAGUAAGUAAGUGGACCACUAAGAAUCAUAAAAUGAAUUAAAAAUAAGCAUAAGUGGGCAGAUUGCUCCACUAAAAGAUCAUCUUCAACAUUGAAACCUCCAUUUGCCGUGAAUGAAAAACUCCCCAAAAUCCUCCAUGGCCAUUUUUCAAUCAAGCUCCAUGCACUCCUCCAUUUUCAACUCCAACCUCUUGGGUUCCUUCAUGAAACUUUGUCUACACAUCACAAGGAAGAUAUUGAUACCAAUUUUGAGAAGUUUGGUGAAGGUUUAGCAAGUUACAAUUAAAGGUAAGUUUGCAUUUUUGAGGAUUUUCUUGUUAAACUUUAUGUUUAUGUUAUGGGUGUUAGUUUUGUGAAGGAAAUUUUGAAGUUUAAAUAGUUAUUAAGAUAACCAAUUUUGGACAGCCAUGGGGUCACACAUUUGAUGAUUUAUUAUGCAUAUAAUUGAUGAGAAAUAAUAUUGAUCAUGGUAAAUUAAUAUCCUAAUGAAUUGUUUCACAUAUACAUGGUGAUUUUGGCACUUGGAUGAGAAUUGAUGGAUUGUAGGGCAAUGUGGUGUUGAAGGACAAAUUUCGGCAGCCUUGGGGACACUUGAAUAAAUGUGUAUAUUCAUGGGAGUGUUGGCAGAAUUGUGGCAUUAAGGAAUGAAGGAUAUGUGUAUGAAAUUAUUGUGUAAAGUGUAUGUGAGAAUUAGUGGUGUUUAGGUGUGUAUGUAAUGGUAUUGAGAUAUUGUAAAUGUGAAUUAUAUUUGGUGUGUUGAGGGUAAUGGUAAUCUGCCCAAAAUAAUGUUAAUGUAAAGUAGAUUAUACUGUGGUUAAUGUACCAAAACAGAUUGGUAGGGAAGUAAACAAAUUGCAAAGUAAAUGUGUGUAGUUGAUGUGUGUUAAGCAAAGUAAUCAAGGGCAGUGUACAUUUUAGCCUAUAACCUUAAAUGUGUAACCUCAAUUGGUA
rnacentral:misc_RNA from 1 species